GCGCGUGUGCUGGAAUAGGCAGGCAGACAGGCAAGCUUGAGGUGCUCGUGUUCGUAAGAGCGUAUGGGUUCAAGUCCCAUCAUGCGCA
rnacentral:tRNA from 1 species